CUUGGAGAAGUUUGGGACAAACACUACGUUCAGGGCAUUCCUUGGCAUCACCUCAGUUCCAGGAUCAGUGUGGCAGGAGGUUCAGCCUUGCUGCAUUGCUGAUUCUGAAGGGCCAGUGCUCCAUGGCACUGCCUGUGUCUCUGCACAUGGCCCUGGGUGAUGAGCUCCAGACACGGGAUAAGGAGGAGGAGCCACAGCCAAGUCUUGAUUUCUCAGACAGGUUCCUGAUGAUGGGAAUGAAGCACAAGCUCCACUGCUCUGCAGGGUGAAGCCCAGGGAUGGCUGUGCUGUACAGACCCCAGAGGCUUAGGUCAUGAAGAGGCCAGCCUGACCCUCCCACAUGUGAGUUCAUUGUGUCGUUGGAGUCUGUGGUGCUUUCUUCCCCUCCCUAGAACCAUUCCAGGAGACUCGCUUGAAAAAACAGACUUGAGAAGGCGACCAAAAGGGAAAGAACAAAUCAAAACACCCCUCCAGAACUUCCAGCUGAAGGAAAAGACUGAGAAACUCAGCAGCACCAGCCUGUUACAGAUCUGCAGGGAAUCACAAGGUGGACUGCAAGCUGUCUCUCCAGCCCAGCUGGUUUCCUGACAAUGAGCAGGACGUACACACUGAUGGCAGGCCCAAACCUGUGGCAGAGCUC